UUCCUAUAAAAGACGCAGUAAUAGCACAUUAAAGAAAAGUCCCUCUUGCAUCACAACAUACAUAGUAUAAAUGGGGCUGAGGAAAGAAAGCUAUUUGAAAACACGUGCAUUUUUGCAGCUAGAAGGUAUCUUUUUGCGACUUAGUGAGUAUACCUUUAAAAUGUAUUAUCUAUUUUUUCCUACUUGGAAAAGUAGAAAUUGAAAUAUCGAGCAAAUGAAUGUGCUUCGACACCUCCAAGCCCACUUAAAUGGUGGUAGCUCGGUUUUGAGACCUGUACCACAUCCGUUGUACACAGUCCAGGCCUUCUAAAACAGACCAUUCAAUAGAGCAAAGUGUAUUAGCAACUUCACCAUUCAACUUAUUAUUUUUUAACCAUGCUUUAACACUUCCUGAAUACAAGUAUACUGUCAAAUAGCCAUCCUGAAAAAUCAAAGGUGAUUUUCAAAUGCAAACUUACUAAACCAUAACUUUUCAAAUAUACUACAUGGACUUCUUUUAUUUAUUUCCCUCCCCCCCCCACCCCGUCAGAAUCCUUAUCUUUUCCAAAGUUCAAAUCUAAGACGUCAAAAUCUAGGCUUGGUGUUCCUCGCUUUGUGAUUACCUUGGCUUUGUUUGGUUCCCUAGCAUAUAGUUUAGGACAAAAAACGUAAGACAACCUGACCACUAAACAAAUUAUUGAGCUUUAGUUUAUUACCUAGAAGGGUGUAAGCCAAAUGACUAGAAGGGGUAAUGACAAUGGUAAUGAAGUUAACUACCUGCUGACAAGUUACCGCCACUGAACUGACCCUUUGUAACAACAAAAUGCCUGGUUUUAGCAUACACAUUAAUUAUUGAGUAACAUUCGUGUCAAUACUUUGGUGUUUUAUUCCACAAACAGAACAGGCUAGGAGCCUGCAGAGAGACAAUUACCACUGUGCUGCUGACGGCUGGUGUCUUCUUCAAGCCACAGUCACUCAGGGAGACAAGGAUGCUUCAAGUUCUCAGCAGCAGUAUUUGGAGAUGGGCUAGUUCAUUUUGGAGGCUAACCCACAUGAUUAAGCCACCCAAGUUUGUCGUCUGUUAUGAUCCACCAACCAUUCACAGCCACUUCACACCAGAUGUGAGCAACAGCAUCAAACCUGAAGAACCCCGAACUCCACUGUCACAUUUAUGCUCCCGAGCUCUACCUCUAUCGCCUCUUUGUAGACAGUGGGCACCUGGCUACCUAUAAUUCUCCUCUGCUUUUGUUCCUGGAGGACCUUUUAAACACCUUAGAAUUCAAUUUCACAGUUUAACCAUGUAAGACUAGAUUUAAACAUGAACUUCAGCAGUUGGUACGAGCUUUAUAAUCUGAACAAAUGCAGAACAGAAAUUAUUACUUGAAGAAUUGAUUUGUUUUUUCUGCAAUUUCUACAGGCUAACUGAAAUGUAGCGUAGUGUAAAUUCAAACUGUAGAGGUUUAAGAACCUUUAAAAUCAAGCCAAAGGUCAUGGCUUGCAAAAUAGGUAGGAUUACGCUCCCGGGGAGUAAAAAAGUUAUCAAAAAAUGCAUCAAUACAGAGAAACUGUGCGUGUGGAGUCAUCAUCAUCUUACCAUCACCUCUUUUUAUUCUCUUACAGGAUAAGAACAUUCACAAUGUUCUUAUAUCUUUCAUUAGAUGUAAACUAUGCCUUUACCAGCAAGAUCUUUCGUAGAUACUGCCCUUCAGCCUAAAAUUCUCAUUUAUAAGCCACGCAGUGCCUGCCUACAGCUUCCAGGAUGGACUUAACAGUUCACUCAACUGAAGACUCAAUUAACCUCUGCUGAAUAAGUGGAUUCAGUCUCUUCUGGGAUUUGUACCAGCUCAAGUUGGAAUUGAGUCUGGAAGCACAAUGACAGCUGUCAUAUUUCAUUUGGCAAAACGUCCCUCAGGGAAAGUUUGUACCAAAACAUAAAUUUGCCUUCAGUAUUUUGCCAAAUAGCAGAUACAUAUCAAAGGGCAGUGCCUUCAAAACUUUGUUGUGUUUGUUUUGGGUUUGUUUUUUUUUUCAGACUUAAUGUUUUCAGUGCCGAGAACAACAAAAUAUUGGAGAGAAAACAUUCUUUUUAUUGUGAAUGCAAAUGCAAGUAUAAAUAAAAGCAGAUCUUUGUACGGAAAUUUUCUAAAGGUCAGCUUCAAGCUUAUUGGGGGUUCUGGUUUUGCCUCAGGAGGCGUCCUCAUUCUAAGAUGUGCUUCACAUUUAGCCUGCAUUCAGGAUUGCUAAACAGUGUAAUGUUCAUCAUUUGAAAAUCUAUUUAAAAUGUUAUCAUGACAUAAAAAUGUAAUGUCAAGCACCUGUUCAACAAAAUCUGAUGUAGCCUCUGCAGCAGCCUGCUAGGACUGCAGCAUUAGGAACCUGAAACAGGUGACUAUAAAGAGGAGAAUCCUGCACAGGAAGUGAUGCCAGCCAGUUUUAGUCCAGAGGCUGCUGCUCUAGCAGUUUAUCUAAAGACAAACAUCAGUGUCUAUAUGUAGAUCCAGAUAGAUAAUGGAGCUUCCCCUCUGGUUUUACAAUUUUAAAGAGGGCAAAUGGAAAUGAGCAAGUUUUAUUUGGUGCACUGAGCUUUUGUGAGUCAAGUUACAGUUUACAGGUUGUGGUUUUGGUUUUUUUAAUAAAGCUCGUCCAAAAAGA